rnacentral:misc_RNA from 1 species
GGACAGCCCCGUGGUACAGAAGACCGCCCCACACCCUCUCAUAAACUUUAUUACUCCCUACCCAUUGGUCCCUCUCGCCCUCUUCCCUCUGUUCCCUAUAUCUCCAGGGAAAUGCACCUAGCUUUCAGUCUGGCUCCGCUUGAUGGAAAACUCAGAGCUCGAGGAGGCGACCCUGACUCGACCCGGCAGAAAAGAGGAGACGGAAAACUCCCUCCCUAGAAUCUGGAAUGAACUCCUUGUGUCUGCGGUUCUUCCAGCCUCUCUGGCUUUGGCAGGACACUAGAUUCUGGCUUACCCUUCCCCGGCUCUCGGCUCUCGUCCCUGGCCAGCCACUGUGACCACUGCUUUGCCAGACCACCAGUGUGUCAGAUUCGUUUCCGUUCCGGAAGAUUGGUAUUUGUAUGGUUAUUGUUUUGAAAAAAAGAAAACGAAUUAACAUUCAAGGGGAACCAAGGAGAGGGAUAUUCGUAGCUGAGGCCAUUGCUUCAGUGUGGAGCCCUGGUUGUGCCCUUCAGAGCCUCGGGCCGAGAGGGAGUGUGGGGGCUGUGGGGCCCCCGGGAAUUAGCGCGUGGAGUGAACGUCGGGGCAAGAGUUGGGGUGGAUUAGCGGGUUCAAAAGCAGGUCAGGGGGAGCUAAGCGUGGCGACCAAGUCCGUGCUAGGUCAAGGUCCCUGGCAAAGGCUGGCUCGAGCGAUCUGCAGGAAGCCGUACCAGUCUGCAGCUGCCCAGCCAGGGACCAGAGAAAUGCAACAGGAACCCAUGCUUGUCUGCAAUAAUUUACAGGACCCCGUUCGAGCUCCCUGGUUGAGGUGUGCUCACCUUGAAAGACAGGGUUUCUCUUUUACAUUUUAACCUUUUCUUUCUUUUCUUCUUUAUGUUUGAGACAGGACCUCACUCCGUAGCCCAGGUUGGCCUCCAGCUCAGGGCCAUCCUCCUGUGGAACCCCUGAGAUCACAGGCGUGUCUCACCAAGUCCCACCUCUUUGUUUUUAUACUCCCUCCUUUCUGACCAGAUAAAUACAUCGACCCACGCAGGUAGAAUUUUCUUCUCAAGAGUCUCUUUCUCCUCCUGACAUCGGGGGCCAUGUGAGUCAAAUGGGGGUUGGGGAUUUCUGAGACACAAUAAAAGAAUCGCAUCCUCCUCUUCCCGCUCGAGUACCUGCGAUAGGGAGGGAGAGCUGGGAGUAGCUGAGUCGCUCUUUCCUUUGCGAAAGGGACGCAGAGGUGACUCUGAGCCCCGAACGUUUGUAGGGCCCUGGAUAGUCUUCCCUUUUCUCCAAAAGACUCGUGAGUUUUAACAGGGAACAAACUUGGAGACGCGGUGGAUUUCGAAAUCCCGGUCUUGUUGGUGGCCUAAGAACAAUUUACAAAGCAGCCGGGGUGGGGAUGAAUCCUCGAGGUCUACCGAGGGUGGUGGCCCCUCCCGAGUCGCUUGGGACCUGGCGUGGGGCUUCUUUUCCUCCCGCGCUGUGCAGGCCCAGGGAGUGGGGUACGCGGAUGGACUUGGUUUUGUUGAAAUCCGGUGAAUCUGGACUCGGGUCGGGCUAGCUUCACGGAGUAAGCCUAUCCGAUCCCUGCAGGGGAGAAGUUUCCUACUUCCAGCUCUGGGGAAAGUACGGAAGGUGGCAAGGAGCUGUGGAAAGCGGAGGUGGCUUGGGAGAGGCCUGGGCUGUGGAGUCCCCGGGCGGCUCCCGCGACUUCUCUGGAAUGCUUCCGAGCUGCAGGCCCUGGAUGCUGGCGUGCAGGGUGUAGAGCGGCAGACCCGGAUGGACCGGCUGGUGCGGUGCUCGGGUCCGAGUGGAGUAGGUAGAAGCUUGGCUUCGAGACACAAUGCAAAUAAGCUGCUCGGUUCCCAGUCCCACGGAGCCUGACAUCUUUCCACUGGAAAAACGCCCGGAGCUGAAGGCACUGUCUCUCCUUCUUUAGGCGGGCGUUCUCGCUUCGCGGCUUGCAACCGGCCUCACAGUUCAGGCUUCAGCGGCAGAAAUAAUGGGACUGACGGCAAGAAAGUAUCCCAACGCUUUCCCGCUCUUCUGGAGCUGCCUCCACCCCAUCCCCACCGCCGCAUCCUUCUUUUUGAAUAAAUUUACCUUGAAAGUA